AACACAUACAGUCUGAAACGAUUACACUGCGGUAUAACGAAGAUCAUCGGGAUACACACCGCGGUAAAAUGAAGAGCAUUGGGAUCACGUGAAUCUGCACAUGCAGCAUGCCGUGUCAUGCUCAACAUCCGGGUACCUCGGCCGCAUGGUCUCAUCAGUUGACUGAAAGAUACGGUAACGAACAUGUCUGACGGCCGAUCCUAUCUGUGUUACACAGAAGAUGUGUCUAAAACUAACCAGGGAGGAAUGACCCAGAGGAAGCUUAAACCUAAAGUAGUUCCAGCCUACGAAAAUGAUGAUUCAACGAGAUGUUACGUCCGACUUUACCAAAAGUACAAGUCGCUGUGUCUCCCUUCCAAAAAGGAUGCGUUCUAUUUCACGCCGGUGAAGAGGCCGAAGAAUGAUAGUGUGGUACCUGGAUGUUCCGGUGGGACAUAAUACUUUGCAGAACACUAUGAAAAGAAUAUGCAGUGAGGGAGGCAUAGAAGGUCGUAAGACGAACCAUUCUCUUAGAGCAACUGCAGCGACGAGGUUGUUUCAGACAAAUGUUGAACAACUUAUUUGUGAACACACUGGUCAUAUGAGCAAAGCUGUACAGCGAACCUACAAAAGAAGCAAUGACGCCAAGAAGGCCCUUGUUUCCGACAUAGUUGCAAAGAAUCCCAGAAUUUCUGCUGAUCCCCAAAACUGCACCACCACCACCACCACGAAAACUGAGAAGUUGACUGCAUCGGAAUCUGCUACCAAACCCACUGCAGAGAGAAUACAACAGGGUUGGAUGCUCAUCUCGAGCGUGGAAACAUUUCCGUUACCUUCAAUUUUCACUAAAUUACGUGUUCAAUGACUAUUCAGAAAUAAAGUGGCCAAGUUUG